rnacentral:rRNA from 1 species
CCUACGGGAGGCAGCAGUAGGGAAUGUUCAGCAAUGGGGGGAACCCUGACCGAGCAACGCCGCGUGAAUGAAGAAGUUAUUCGUAAUGUAAAGUUCUUUUAACAGGGAAGAAAGAGAAAUUUGACGGUACCUGAAGAAUAAGCUCCGGCUAACUACGUGCCAGCAGCCGCGGUAAUACGCAGGGAGCGAGCGUUAUCCGGAAUUAUUGGGCGAAAAGGGUGCGUAGAUGGCAUAGAAAGUCUUUGGUAAAAAUGCUGGGCUCAACCCAGUAGGGCAAAAGAUACUGCAAAGCUAGAGUAUGACAGAGGCAAGUGGAACUACAUGUGUAGCGGUAAAAUGCGUAAAUAUAUGUAAGAACACCAGUGGCGAAGGCGGCUUGCUGGGUCGAUACUGACAUUGAGGCACGAAAGCGUGGGGAGCAAACAGGAUUAGAUACCCGAGUAGUC